CAACCUCCCUCAGGGCCGGGGCCACAGCUGGCGCCUCCCUGGCAGCACGGGGCCUGUGCCCUGCAGACAGCGGGGGUAUUUAUUGAAUGUAUUGAGCUGACUCUCUAGGGGCCAAACCCAAGAACUUAUGCGGGGAGAACAGUCAGGCAAAGACAGGAGCCCCCAUUCUGGGCAGACGGGGACCUCUUUUGAGCGACUCUUAGUAAGUGGUACAGAGAACAGAGUAUGAGGCUUCAGAGCAGAUAGAAUGGGCGUGAAAAUUGGUUCCACCACUUGUUAGCUGUGUGCUCUCUGGAGCUCAGUGUCUUCCCUUGAGAUUGCUAUAAUGCAAUAAAUGUAUAAAAAGUCCUGAGGACGUGCCACCCCUGCUCCCACCUCCCUCAUUUACUCAGCAAAUAGUUAUGAACCGCCCACGAAACGUAAGGCACUGUGCUAAACAUUGUCUGUAUCAGUGGUUUCUAUGGAAUGGUAUUUCAGGGUUCAGGCUGGGAGUACCCCAAGAGCACCAAGAUGGAGAGGUCGUCACAAACGUGUCGAGCUGAAUGAAGUGUCUGUGAUGUAUGAGGAUCCUCCCUGCACCCACACCGGAUAUCAUCCGCCAGCGCAGGGUUCAGUGUUGACCCUCAUGCUCCAGUUUAUAAAACGGCAUUACCUUCACAGGCCCCAUGUGAGUUCAUCAGAGGCCCGGCCUCCUGUCUGGGUGAGGGCUUGUGCAGAGAGGACCUCAUGCCACAUUUCCAGGGACUGA
rnacentral:lncRNA from 1 species